GUGAGUCUUAUUCAUUACAUUUAGUUAUUGCUUGCUUUUCUAAAAGUCUAUCAACCUUUUCCAGCAGAUAUGCCAGCAAAGAUAUUCAGACAGUCUAGCUACUCUAAUUUGAUUGAUAGCCUGCAAUGGCUUCUGGGUAAUAGUGACUAGUAGUAUUACAGAGAAACAGGACAAAUCUGAGGGGGGCACGUGCCCCUUUGCCCCCUUUGAGCAUGAUGCAUCUUAUUGUGAUUAUAAUAUGUGACUAAAAACAGCCUAGGCUUUAUUUUAUGGUGAUGUGUACCCCCCCCCCCAUGUACUUAGCCAUUAGACGUGUGUUAUUAUAGCGCCUCAUACAGCGCCGCCGCCUGCUAAAAUGUUGCUAGAUUUCACCUGGCUUGCCUCUUGCUUCUGCUACCGCUGGCUGUCUGACUGAGAACAUUAAACCACCAGCAUCAUGAAGUAGAGGAAGAACAACGAUGUAGAGGAAGAACAACGAUGUGGAGGAAGAACAACGAUGUGGAGGAAGAACAACGAUGUGGAGGAAGAACAACGAUGUGGAGGAAGAACAACGAUGUGGAGGAAGAACAACGAUGUGGAGGAAGAACAACGAUGUGGAGGAAGAACAACGAUGUAGAGGAAGAACAACGAUGUGGAGGAAGAACAACGAUGUGGAGGAAGAACAACGAUGUGGAGGAAGAACAACGAUGUGGAGGAAGAACAACGAUGUGGAGGAAGAACAACGAUGUGGAGGAAGAACAACGAUGUGGAGGAAGAACAACGAUGUAGAGGAAGAACAACGAUGUGGAGGAAGCUGCAGUCUAACCCUUUAGUGAUAACUGUGACUGUUCAUAGCAACAGGUGUUGUUUGGUAUUUGAUACCUGUGACUGUUCAUAGCAACAGGUGUUGUUUGGUAUUUGAUACCUGUGACUGUUCAUAGAAACAGGUGUUGUUUGGUAUUUGAUACCUGUGACUGUUCAUAGAAACAGGUGUUGUUUGGUAUUUGAUACCUGUGACUGUUCAUAGCAACAAGUGUUGUUUGGUAUUUUAUAACUGUGACUGUUCAUAGCAACAAGUGUUGUUUGGUAUUUUACAACUGUGACUGUUCUGUGACUGUUCAGGAGCAGACAGACAGAACCUGUGCAGUCCCUUUCUCUCUAACCCAGGGCUUGGUUUGACAGAGGCAGAAACUCAAAUAGGAAGUACCCGUGCAAAGGACUAUUCAACGCUGGUCUGACCAAUCGGGAAUGGAUGCUUCAUGAUUGUUUUGAUGUGCAGUUACUCGGUACUCGGCAAACUACCUGCCCUCCAGGACACCUACAGCACCCGAUGUCACAGAAAGGCCAAAAAGAUCAUCAAGGACAACAACCACCCGAGCCACUGCCUGUUCACCCCGUUAUCAUCCAGAAGGCGAGCUGCUGCUUUGCCAAGUCACGCUACCGCCGGCCGUACCGGCUACUGAGGAAGAUCUGUCAGUUGAUCCCCACCGUUCCGGCCUGCCUACUGGAGAUCAGCCCUGUAGCCCACCGCCUGGCCACCGUACCCUGGGACAGAACCCUGUACUACCCCUCUACGCCCUGCAGGUGGCACAGAGAGAGAGAGAGAGAGAGAGAGAGAGAGAGAGAGAGAGAGAGAGAGAGAGAGAGAGAGAGAGAGAGAGAGGGGGUAAAGGUCAUAAUGGCUCCAGUAGAUGUGGUAGACUGGUCUCUGGCCUCGUCCUCUUCAUCCCCUGAGGUCUGCUUCAUCUCUCUCAUCCUCUUCCUCAUCCUCACCAUCACACUCCUCACUGUAUGUAUAAACUGCCGCAGGCUCCCAUUUAGCCACAGCUCACACCUUACCUUCAUGGAGGGACCAUAAGAACAUGCCUGAGAGCACACUUCCCUCGACCCUCGCCCGCAGCCGGACACUCCCCUUGGCCCCCGCCCAC
rnacentral:lncRNA from 1 species